UACAGAGGUCUCAAGCGUUGUUCGGAAUUACUGGGCGUAAAGGGUGCGCAGGCCGCGCGGGCAGUCAAUUGUGUAAUUCAGGGGCUCAACCCCUGGACUGCGCUUGAUACUUCCGUGCUAGAGCUUUGGAGAGGAGUCUGGAAUUCUCGGCGUAGCAGUGAAAUGCGUGGAUAUCGAGAAGAACACUUAGGGCGAAGGCAAGACUCUGGACAAAUGCUGACGCUCAUGCACGAAGGCUAGGGUAGCGAACGGG
rnacentral:rRNA from 1 species